rnacentral:rRNA from 1 species
GACGAACGCUGGCGGCGUGCUUAACACAUGCAAGUCGAACGGAAAGGCCCUGCUUUUGUGGGGUGCUCGAGUGGCGAACGGGUGAGUAACACGUGAGUAACCUGCCUUUUACUUUGGGAUAACUUCAGGAAACUGGUGCUAAUACCAGAUAGGAGCUCCUGCUGCAUGGUGGGGGUUGGAAAGUUUCGGCGGUUGGGGAUGGACUCGCGGGUUAUCAGCUUGUUGGUGGGGUAGUGGCUUACCGAGGCUUUGACGGGUAGCCGGCCUGAGAGGGUGACCGGCCACAUUGGGACUGAGAGACGGCCCAGACUCCAACAGGAGGCAGAAGUAGAGAAUAUUGCACAAUGAGCGGGAGCCUGAGGCAGAAGCGCCGCGUGCGGGAUGAAGGCCUUCGGGUUGUAAACCGCUUUAGCCUGUGACGAAGCGUGAGUGACGGUAAUGGGUGAAGAAGCACCGGCUAACUACGUG